ensembl:lncRNA
GUCUUGCUGGAGAUUUCUGUGCCUUCCAAAGAACACCAAGAACUCAGAGAACAAUCAUCCGGGGCCGGCAUGUUUUUCCUUUCUAAGCGGGCUGUCUAUGCUAAUGGCUUGCAACUUGUCAACAGGAACCAAAUUCCCAUGGUGUCUGAAGGCAGAAACCAUGGCAUCUUGGCAUGUUUCACCACGCUCCAAUCAAUCACCUCUGAAAACAAUACUGUGAGAGAGAGAGAUUGGUUGGAUGGGAUGGAUGGAAAACCAGAAUUUAUUCCCCGUUUCCUUUCUCCUCCUGCCACAGUGUACAUAACUGCAGCACUUGUGUAAAUUGUUUAGGGAAGAGGAUCUCACUCCUCUGUAUGCAGGGGUUUGGGUCCCAGUUCUGAUGGGCCGGUAGUAAGGUUCUUUUAUGCCAUAUAUUUAUGAUGGGUGUCUUGAGAUUUCUUUAUGACUUGGAAACGUUUAUGGUGGAAGAACAGAUGCCGACCUCUAUUGCUUUUCAUCAUCUAUUUUAAGAACAGAAUGCGAUAUAAUUAAGUAUAAUAUUAAUUUAACAACAUUUAGAAUCUUCUGCCAGAAACACACGCGGUGACGUAAUAGUGGAGUGAUGUGGUGGUGGAAUACACUCACUAAGAGAAUAUGUGUUUUGGGCAUGUCUUCAUCAGAUAAUGUUUCCCUAGCAAUUUGGUUCAGCCUGUAGCCAACUUGAUUUGUAAACCAGGAGGUGGUCAGAUGGAGACUGCACAUUUUGCAUCAGAUAAUGUGUACGUAAAUGUUCCAAUAUUCCAUCUGCUCUUGUUAUUUCUGACACCAGUCGCCAUCAGUAAAGCAAUAUUUGCUGGCCGGGCUGUCCAGGUGCUCCCUGAGAUAACAUAGUCCGUCCUUAUAAUAUAAACUGGCAAAUAUCUGGGCUGUUUCCAGACACAACUGUGUGGGAUCUCCUGAUAGAAGCUGACUAUUUUUAAAAUACAUGUGCUAUAUAUAUAUAGAAUGCCAAACAACUCACAAAUAAGCUGAGACCUUAAAUAACUGGGUCCAUAUGUAUGUAUAUUUAUUCUACCCACUCUUCACACCAAAAUAUCUGUAUUUGCUGGCUUAGCAAUCAUUGCUCAACUACUUAAAGGUUUUUUUAUCUUUCUACCACACCUGCUAACAUGGAGUUUGCUUUAAAAAGAUUGUUCU